GCCAGUGUGGUACAGUGGUUUGAACAUUGGACUACGAUUCCAGAGACCAGGGUUCAAUUUCCCAUUUGUC